rnacentral:misc_RNA from 1 species
GAUGAAGAACGCAGCGAAAUGCGAUAAGUAAUGUGAAUUGCAGAAUUCAGUGAAUCAUCGAAUCUUUGAACGCACAUUGCGCCCGCCAGUAUUCUGGCGGGCAUGUCUGUUCGAGCGUCAUUUCAACCAUCAAGCCCCCGGCUUGUGUUGGGGACCUGCGGCUGCCGCAGGCCCUGAAAACCAGUGGCGGGCUCGCUGUCACACCGAGCGUAGUAGAUUUUCAUCUCGCUCAGGGCGUGCUGCGGGUUCCGGCCGUAAAAAGCCUUAUUUACCCAAGGUUGACCUCGGAUCAGGUAGGAAGACCCGCUGAACUUAAGCAUAUCAAUAAGCGGAGGA